rnacentral:RNase_P_RNA from 1 species
CCAGUUGACCGGGUGACCGCUCCUGUUUCCGUGGGAGAGGAAAGUCCGGGCUCCAUCGAAAUACGGUGACGGCUAACGGCCGCCGGGGGCGACCCCAGGGAAAGUGCCACAGAAAGCAAACCGCCUCGCGUUCGCGCGCGGUAAGGAUGAAAGGGUGCGGUAAGAGCGCACCGCGGACCUGGCAACAGGGACGGCACGGCAAACCCCACCGGGAGCAAGACCAAAUAGGGAUGACGCGGGGAAACCCAGCCGGUUUUCGAGGCCUGUCAUCCGGGUUGGUUGCUCAAGUUCCGCGGCAACGCGGAUCUCAGAGGAAUGGCCGCCGCGCCAGGGAAACCUGGCCCUACAGAACC